rnacentral:rRNA from 1 species
AUUGAACGCUGGCGGCAUGCUUUACACAUGCAAGUCGAACGGCAGCGCGGGCUUCGGCCUGGCGGCGAGUGGCGAACGGGUGAGUAAUACAUCGGAACGUGCCCAGUAGUGGGGGAUAGCUCGGCGAAAGCCGGAUUAAUACCGCAUACGACCUGAGGGUGAAAGCGGGGGAGCUUCGGACCUCUCGCUAUGGUGGGGGCGGAUGGCAGAUUAGCUAGUUGGUGGGUUAAAGGCCUACCAAGGCGACGAUCUGUAGCUGGUCUGAGAGGACGACCAGCCACACUGGGACUGAGACACGGCCCAGACUCCUACGGGAGGCAGCAGUGGGGAAUUUUGGACAAUGGGCGAAAGCCUGAUCCAGCAAUGCCGCGUGUGUGAUGAAGGCCUUCGGGUUGUAAAGCACUUUUGGCGGGAACGAAAAGGACUGUGCCAAUACCACGGUUCGAUGACGGUACCCGCAGAAUAAGCACCGGCUAACUACGUG